CAGCAGUGAAAGAGGUUUAUUUCUAGGGAUGCUGAACCAGGAGAUGGGAGGAAACCUCAAAUCCGUCUCCACAGAGUUUGGGGCUAGGGUUUUCAGGGGUUUGGGAAUCAGCCAAAGUGUGGAGAUCCUUGAUUGCUCAAAGGGCACAGGGCAAAGUCAUGGAACAGGGAGAUGAAGAAACUGUAUUCUCAUGCUGAUUCCAUUCCUCUGUAGGGGUCAGUGGGUCUUCAGACUAUUUGAGGUCAGCUGUCUUGCUGGAAUUCAGGAUCUAAAAAACAUCUUAAGAAAUUCUUAAACAAAAACCUUAUGAUUCUAAUGUCAGAGAUUCUACCUAUCUUAAAUAAAAGGCUUAUUAUUCUAGCAUCAGAAAGCUGAUCUAUAGGCCAGGUGUGGUGGCGGCUCACACUUGUAAUCCUAGCACUUUGGGAGGCUGAGGUGGGAGGACCUCUUAGCCCAAGAGUUCAAGACCAUUCUGGGCAACAUAGGGAGACCCCUGUCUCUACAAAAAAAUUUAAAAAUUAGCGAGGUGUGGUAGCCUACACCUGUAGACUGGGCUACUCAGGAAGUUGAGGCGGGAGGAUUGCUUGAGUGUGGGAGGUCAAGACUGCAGUGAGCCAUGAUUGUACCACUGCACUCCAGCCUGGGUGACAGAGUGAGACCUUGUCAAAAAAAAAAAAAAAAACCUAUCUGUAGGAACAAUGGGGAUGCAAAUGGUCAGUAUCUAGUGCCCUGUAAUUUUCAGUUACAAGAAAGUGGGUCAAAGUGCAGCCUAAGUAAUGCUUAAUUAUAACUAUUAAUAUAUUUUUGUCCAAAAUUCUUGUUAAUCCUGUGAGGACAACUUCAGAAUGUUCCAGACUGAGAAGGGAAGGAGUGCAGGGCAAGAGGUGGGAACAGUAUGGGCAAAGGCAUAGAGGUGUGAUUAGCAUAAGUUUGGGAAACAGCAAGCAGGUCUCUGAGGUUGGAGAUCGCCUUCCUGGGGCAGACGGCAUGGAGAGAAUGAUGAAGGGGAAUCCUAGAGGGGCAAAAGAUACCUGGCCCAGUGUCAAUCCCCCUCAUGCCAUAAUGGGCAGCCCAUGAUGGAGGGUGAGGGCCUGGUUGCUGGGGUGGCAACCACAAUAUAUGCUAUGGUGUCAUUUGCAGGAAAGCCUAGUACAGCCAUCUUGGAAAACAAUUAAAAAUUAAGACCUGGGCUCUCUCAUAAAUUACUGGGGUGCAUAUACAUUGGAACAAUCGGCCAGGCAUGGUGGCUCACGCCUGUAAUCCCAGCACCUUGGGAGGCCGAGGUGGGUGGAUCACCUGAGGUCUGGAAUUCAAGACCAGCCUGGCCAACAUGGUGAAAUCCCAUCUCUACAAAAAUACCAAAAAAAAAAAAAAGCCAGGCAUGAUGGCAGGUGCCUGUAAUCCCAGUUACUCGGGAGGCUGAGGCGGAAGAAUCGCUUGAUCCCGGGAGGCGGAGAUUGCAGUGAGCUGAGAUUGUGCUAUUGCACUCCAGCCUGGGUGACAGAGCGAGACUCCGUCUCAAAAAAAAAAAAAUUGGAACAAUCUCUAUGGAAGGUAAUUUGGCAAUAUCAAAAUUAUAAAUGCAUGUAUAUUUUGUGCUAGAAAUUCUUCUCCUGGGAAUUUAUCCUACAGAUAUACUUGUAAAGGUGUGAAAUUAUGUCCAAACAGGUUAUUCCUUGCCACAUUGCAAUUGCUUGUAAUCUUUUUUUUUUUUUUUUUGAGACGGAGUCUCGCUCUGUCGCUAGUCUGGAGUGCAAUGGCGCCAUCUCGGCUCACUGCAACCUCCGACUCCCUGGUUCAAGCGAUUUUCCUGCCUCACCCUCCC
rnacentral:lncRNA from 1 species